CUUUUUCAUGAGAGAGGUGGUCCAUAUAUAUAGGGAGGAAAAGCCCCAACACCCUCAUCUAUUAGCAAUAUGGGACUAAUAGAUGGUGUACCCCCUCUUUACGCUAAUGGGCCUUUGAGAUUUAUUCAGAAUUAUCAUUUAUAUGGGCCAAGCCCAUAUAUCUAACAAUCCCCCACCAGAUCUCAAAUACCCAUUUAGGUGUUUUGCACAUUUCUCACUACUGGGCCUUUGAGAUUUUUUCAGAAUUAUCAUUUAUAUGGGCCAAGCCCAUAUAUCUAACAAUCCCCCACCAGAUCUCAAAUACCCAUUUAGGUGUUUUGCACAUUUCUCACUACUGUUUGAUACACCAGUAUUUCAG
rnacentral:lncRNA from 1 species